rnacentral:lncRNA from 1 species
AUGCAUAUUCGUUUGAAGGAAUCAACGUGAACUAGCGGAGAAGCAGAAGGAAUUUGAGAGACACCACUUUGGAGAGCCGAGGGUUGUGCAGUUGUCUAGGCCCUAGCCGACAUGGGAAUCCUCCGAGGAAGAUCCACGUCGGAGUUCUGGAGCUACAAUCAUCACAUCAAGGUAGGAUCUCGGUGGAAACUUGGUGAUGUUCAAUCAUUCAUGGUGAACUAAUAGAUGUGUUCUUGUUCUUAGCGAUCUAAAUAUCUCUUUCUAUGGUUUUAUACUCUUUCGGGUGUUUGCUUGCUUUUCAUCUAUGAUUGAUGAUAGAUUGCUUAGAAUGUUUAUGUGAUCGUGGUGACCGGAUUUGUAUGCCUGAUCUACUGAUGAGUAUGACAUGUUCUUAUAUGAUCGUGUCCAUAGAUUAUCUAUACUGAUAGGGAGAUCGUGACAGAGUCUUUCUUGUGUAAGAUCGGGAUUUUCGGGAGCCGGACCGGAGGUGUAAAUUUAAAAAUGUUAGAUCAUAUCUAUGUUGCUUUGCUAUCCAUGCUCGGAAUUACAACAUAUGCAUAGUCUAGGUUGCUCUAAAUUGGUUACCUCUGCUCCAUCUGUUAUCUGUCUGUGUAUGCUAGAAUAGAUAUGAAUCACUCAUCAACAAAAGGCUCAUAGUGACAUAGUGACAUGUUAGUUGAAAUAGAUCUUGUAUUAUAAGUUUCAUGGAUUUAUAAACUUUGGGGGGAGUACUUUAAGGGAAGAGCUACAACUAAUCCGUGCACUUACGGUUCCCAAAUUGGCGCGCUAACUGAUGUCAAUCCUAAAUUAGUUCUUUUUCAUUUUACUUGUGAUAAAAUUGUCUUUUCUAUAAUUCUGCCUCUAUUGUAGUAUUAUAUCCGUCUGAUAACCGACUACGACGACGAUAGCCAUACAUCAUUCGUCGAAUCACAACCACGUUAUCAUGGCCGCAAAAGUUCUCAUCGACUGGAAUAUGCGUGAGUACUAGUUUUCCACAGAAUCAGUUCGUAAUUUGUUUCUUGUUAUGUAUUUUUUUCAAUCAAUCCACUUAAAGGAUGCUUAGCAGCUUCCAAU